rnacentral:rRNA from 1 species
UGCCAGCAGCCGCGGUAUUCCGCAGGGCGCGCGCGUUAAUCGGCAUUACUGGGCGUAAAGCGUACGUAGGUGGUUUGGUAAGUCGGAUGUGAAAUCCCCGGGCUUAACCUGGGAACUGCAUUCGAUACUGCAGAGCUAGAGUAUGGUAGAGGGAAGUGGAAUUUCCGGUGUAGCGGUGGAAUGCGUAGAUAUCGGAAGGAACACCAGUGGCGAAGGCGACUUCCUGGGCCAAUACUGACUGCUGAGGUGCGAAAGCGUGGGGAGCAAACAGGAUUAGAUA